GGGGGGCGUGCUAUAAUGCAAGUCGAGCGCGGGAAGCGAGUGGAUCCCUUCGGGGUGAAGCUCGUGGAACGAGCGGCGGACGGGUGAGUAACACGUGGGCAACCUGCCUGUAAGAUCGGAAUAACCCCGGGAAACCGGGGCUAAUGCCGGGUAAUACUUUCUUUCGCAUGAAGGAAAGUUGAAAGAUGGCUUCUCGCUAUCACUUACAGAUGGGCCCGCGGCGCAUUAGCUAGUUGGUGAGGUAACGGCUCACCAAGGCGACGAUGCGUAGCCGACCUGAGAGGGUGAUCGGCCACACUGGGACUGAGACACGGCCCAGACUCCUACGGGAGGCAGCAGUAGGGAAUCUUCCGCAAUGGACGAAAGUCUGACGGAGCAACGCCGCGUGAACGAUGAAGGUCUUCGGAUCGUAAAGUUCUGUUGUUAGGGAAGAACAAGUACCGUGCGAAUAGAGCGGUACCUUGACGGUACCUAACGAGGAAGCCCCGGCUAACUACGUGCCAGCAGCCGCGGUAAUACGUAGGGGGCAAGCGUUGUCCGGAAUUAUUGGGCGUAAAGCGCGCGCAGGCGGUUCCUUAAGUCUGAUGUGAAAGCCCACGGCUCAACCGUGGAGGGUCAUUGGAAACUGGGGAACUUGAGGACAGAAGAGGAGAGUGGAAUUCCACGUGUAGCGGUGAAAUGCGUAGAUAUGUGGAGGAACACCAGUGGCGAAGGCGACUCUCUGGUCUGUUUCUGACGCUGAGGUGCGAAAGCGUGGGUAGCAAACAGGAUUAGAUACCCUGGUAGUCCACGCCGUAAAC
rnacentral:rRNA from 1 species